AAUAGUAAACUAUUCGUUGGCAGGUUGACAAAAGGUUUAGAAGAGAAGCAGGUUGAAAUAUUAACUGAAGUGAGGUUUGGGGUUUGUUCUAGAUUUCACUCUUUUAGAGAUAAUUGAAUAUUAAUUUAUAAGAAUAGUAUUUUGACAUUAGACUGAAAUAUAUUUUAUACUAGUACUGACAUGUUUUGAAUGCUAUUGCCAGUCACAUUACUAAUAUCUAAUUUAAUCACAAUUAAGUCCUAAUUAUAUAUUGUACUAUAGUAUCAA
rnacentral:lncRNA from 1 species